CUCCGGCGUUUGGAACAGUCGCCCCCAGGGUCCCGCGCUUAUCCACAGGCGUCAGCCCGUACAGCAUGGCGGAGCCCGCAAUACCUAUAGCACAGCGGAGAAAUGUUAAUGUAGACGGAUACAGCCUGCUUACUCCAGGGACAACUCAUCAGAAGAAAAGUGUGAGCUACAAGUAGGAAACUAAAUGGGGAGAGACUAUGGAAGAAUUACGGGGGAAUGGGGCUUAUGGUUUCUUACUUCAAAUUUGAUACAGAAAACGCCUGUGGGGCCCGCUCAUGGCCGCAAAGAAAGACAAAGGAAAACAAGGUUACUUGCAAGUUCGAGUGAAAUUUUCCAAGCAAGAAAAAAAGCAGACUUUAUCAAAACCGGGGGCUUAGCCCUUAAAAAGCUAGCGUUGAAUGUUGAGUCGUAACAAAUGUUUCAGACAAUAGCGUUUUAUUCGAAGGUAUCUAAAAGAAUGCAUUUAUGUAACCAUAACAAUGAAUUGAACAAUGCAGUCUAACUGACUGUAUGGCCUAUUUUUGCACUAUAGCCUAGUCAUUUAUAUGCACAAAUAAAGAAAUAUAACUGUCAUUGCAUUGA